CGGCAGUUAGUUCAGUGUAAGUCAAGUCAUUGAUCAGAACGUGAUCUUUCCUCUUUACAGAAAAAUCCAUAAAGUGCUUUGAGCUUUUUCCCUGUAAAGUCUUUUAAGGCUCUCUCUCACACUGCCAUAAGUUAUAAUUGUCAGUUAAUCGUUAUUUUUGUUUUAUUAAGAGAGAGUUUUUUUAUUAAUUAAUUAAUUAUGAACAAAUUUACUGUCGUUCUCGCAAUAACAGCAUUGAUUGCUUCAGCCAGUGCUCAGAAUUUCAAAUGCCCCCCAAAAGAUGGUCAAUACGAGGAUCCCGUUCAAUGUGACAAAUUCUACGAAUGCACAGAUGGACAGGCAGUCAUGAAACUCUGCCCCGAUGGAUUGGUCUUUGAUCCAACAAUCAGGAAAAUCAACAAGUGUGAUCAACCUUUCAAUGUAGACUGUGGCGAUAGGACUGAACUUCAACCACCAAAGGGUAACCACAUUUGCCCCCGGCGGAAUGGUUUCUUCGCUCAUCCUGACCCUGCCGUCUGCAAUGUCUUCUACAACUGCAUAGAGGGUGAAUACACCGAGAUCACGUGUACAGCUGGUCUGCACUUUGAUGAAUACACUGGAACUUGCGUCUGGCCAAACACAGCCCAACGUCAGGGAUGUCAAGACAAGAGCAAGGAACUCAAGGAUGGUUUCACCUGCCCGAAAGAACAAUCAGUCGACUCUACGGGUCAGACAGUUGCCCACCCCAAAUAUGCCCAUCCCACAGACUGCCAACGAUUCUACGUAUGCCUCAACGGUGUGGAACCCCGAGAUCUUGGUUGCCAAAUCGGUGAAGUGUACAACGAAGAGACUCAGCGCUGUGACGCCCCCGAAAAUGUGCCAGGAUGUGAGGAUUGGUACGCCACGUCAGAUGAGAAGAAAAAUUAAAAUGAGAGGAAUUUGUAAAAAAUCUCCCUUAAAAAAACAAAUUUUAAGGAGAUCAUUGAUACAAGAAGCUCUCAUAGCACUUCCUGCCACAUUUUACAUCCUAAACAGACUGUAAAUGAAAAAUGUGUUUGUGAAAAUAUUUUUGGAAAAUUUUGUAAAUUUUUUUCUCAUUAACUAAUUAAAAGGAACCAAACUAAAAAGAAAAACUGCUUCUGUACUCUGCGUUGAUACCACUGCUU